UGAAAUCUAGUAACGGUACGUUCCCAUCGCUGAAGUUCUUGGCGGUGCAAAGGCAAUACCCAAUACCUCUGCCCUCCAGAUGCAGCUGCCGCCAUCGAAACAUAAGAUUAUUUCCUAUAGUAUGGGACAAUCAGGUACCACGAAUUUCUCAUAGAUUUUGAAGAACCAAGCUCUGAGGAAAUCCAGGAAUAUUCUGCAGUAAGAGCUGCAUUCUGUGCUUGUUCUGUGGCUAAAAUCGAAGGCGUUGCCAGGCCAAUGAUCGCUUGAACGACUGAACAGUGCUCAAAUUUUGGGAAGAGAUCCAGAAGCAAUAAUCAGGAAAACGAUGAACCAAAUGAACCCAAAUGUCGCACAUCCGUGACUGAUGGAUCAACAUGCAGCUAGCAGCAGCAGCAGGCUACGCUCACCAGGAUGCGAAGGACUCUCUUAUGCCGAUGACUACUCUGUGGGGUAUCUGGUGACCAAUUGGGCACUACAUACCGAUGUUAGUGCUGUAAACCUUUGCGGAGUCUGCUUCCAACUCUGGCUCAAGUGAAGAAUAGGAGUCCCCUCUAAUUGGAUGCAGCUAACAGGAUUCUAACGCGUAAGAUGCAUCCGUUGCUGUAAAUGGUGCAGGCAGCAGAACAACGAUCGCCAAAGGCGUGCUACCAUCCAGCACUUCCAGCAAUAUUUAAAUGCUGUAAAUGCAGAUACAGGAUACUCGUCCAGGGGCAUACAAACGCUAUCGUAUGGUCCGCGUGGCA